rnacentral:lncRNA from 1 species
CACCUUGUUACCAAGGUCCUUGGUAAGAAGCUAUAUGCUUUAUUAUUUGCAAUGUAGCUGUUUAAGUUGCCUGUUGCAGAGCUUCUUAUGUUACCUCAUUGUAUAUGGUAUAGCAGCCGAUUAGAUAUCUGAUGGUCUCUGGUGUAGCUAAUUAUGUAUCUGAUUAUGUAUUGUAUAACUUAUCCUAUUUGAUUGUCCAUGAUAUAGCUGUAUAGGUACCCAACUGGCUGCUGUACAGCUUCUUAUAUUUCCAGAUUGCUGGAUAUUUGACUGUCUGUUGUAUAGCUUGUGUGUGUGUGUUGUUGCAUGUCAUAUAGCUGGUUAGGUUCUUCAUCGUCCAUUGUAUUGAAUAGCUGCUUAUGUCUGAUCGUUAACAUUUCCAUUUCAGAAGUUUUAAUUCUUUUCCCUCAUUUUAUUAUAUCAGUACUAUAAUAAUAAUAAUAUCAAGUGUGUUGCAUAUAGUGCUCAAAUGUAGUACAACUCCUCAGAAAAGAUGAAAAGGGGAGACCAACUGCAAUAGUAAAACAUGUGAAUAAAGGAAGACAAUAAUGAAAUAUAUAUACAAUGUACUCAGAAUAUAACACAACACAAACAAAAAAAUAGGAUCACAAAAGAGCCUCAAAGAAGAAAAGAAUACUUAGGUAGGUCAAGAGUAGAAUGAAUAGUUAAUAGAUUAGGAAAGUAUUAAAUUUUUGAAGGACACAUUGCCCUAUUAGUUAAUGACUGAUGUGGGUAUCUCAUUCUUUGUUCCAACAAAUCUGAGUGUAAAGUUCUGGGUGUUGUGUUGUUUAAUAUUUUAAGCUCUUGUUUAGUCAUUAGACUGCAACCAUGCUGGGGCACCACAUUCAAGAAGUUUAGUCAAAUAAAUCAACCCCAGUACUUACUUUUUUUUAAGCUUGUUACUUAUUCUAUUGGUCUCGUUUGCCAAGCUGCUAAGUUACAGGAAUGUAAACACACAGACACUGGUUGCCAAGCAGUGGUGGCAGCAAACACAGACACAAAGACACACACAUAGAUGCACACACACAAACACACACACACACACACACACACACACACACACACACACACACACACACACACACACACACACACACACACACACACACACACACACACACACACACACACACACACACACACACACAUGAUGGGUUUCUUUCCAGUUCUGUCUACCAAACCCACUCACAAGACUUUGUUUGGCCCAAGGUUAUAGUAGAAGACACUUGCCCUAGGUGAUAUGCAGUGGAACUGAACCCAGAACCAUAUGGUUAUGAACCAAACUUUUUACUACACAUGUUUCUAGAUUUUAUUAGCAUGGCCAUUAGUGGUAGAGACAUUGAAUUCAAAAAGGUCAUCAAAGUUAUUGGAGUGGAAAUGGUGGCUAAUCUUGUGGGACUUUACCAUGUCAGCUGCUACACAUCAAAACUUUAAUGUCUCACUUCCUAUGAGGACAAGAUGUACAAGAUAUAUUAAGUGAAUGAAAGAGAUCAUUUGUCUGGUUACAUGUCUCUAGGCAGCUUUCAGUAGAUCAAUCUUCAGGACAAGAUGUGAGUUCCAAAAUAGAGAUGCAAACAGCUGAUAGAAGUCAUAGUGAGUAACAUCAAAAUACCAUUGGUCAUUAUUAUCCUUUCAGGGACAAUCAAAUAAAACAUCAGUCAUACACUGCAUUUGAUGGUAUCAACUGACACCUCCCUAAAAUUGCUGGUCAUCUAUGUAAAUCAUAAACCAUUAUUAUUAUUACUGUUAUUGUUGUCAUUGUUGUUGUUACUAUUAUUAUUAUUAUUAUUAUUAUUGGCUCAUGGCUCGCAGGACAGCAUGCUGUGCUAACCUUGGAUUAUAGAGUGACCCACUGUUCUUGAGGAGACCUACUGAGUCAAGUAUGUCAACACCAACAUCAAAAUAAAAAUCAAAUGGAAAUUGUAGUUAAGAUACCCAUGCCAGUGGCAUGUAAAAAUGACCAUCCGAAUGUGGCUGAUGCCAGCACUGCCUGACUGGUGUCUGUGUCGGUGACACGUAAAAAGCACCAACUGAUUGUGGCCGUUUGCCAGCCUCCUCUGGCCCCUGUGCUGGUGGCACAUAAAAAGCACUCACUACACUCACGGAGUAGUUGGCGUUAGGAAGGGCAUCCAGCUGUAGAAACACUGCCAGAUCAGACUGGAGUCUGGCGCAGCCUCCUGGCUUCCCAGACCUCAGUCGAACCAUCCAAACCAUGCUAGCAUGGAAAACAGAUGUUAAAUGAUGAUGAUGAUUAUUAUUAUUAUUAUUAGUAGUAGUAGUAGUAGUAGUAGUAGUAGUAGUAUAAGGUAGUGGAUAGGCAGAAUCAUUAUGGUAUAGGACGAAAUGGUUUGUGUUAUUUAGGUACAGCUCUUUAUAGUCUGGAUUCAAAUCCUGCCAAGAUCAACUUUGCCUUUCAACCCUCGAGGAUCAAUAAAAUAAAGUGCUAAAUGAUUAUUGACAGCAUUAAAAAGAAAAGAAAAACACUUUUGCAAUCAAACUGGUGUCUUUGAUAAAUAUUUUUUUCCACCAGGAUUGACUUUGUCUUUCAUCCUUUCAGAGUCGAUAAAAUAAGUAUCAGUUGAACACUGGGGUCAAUGUAAUCAAUUAUCUCCAUCCCCAAAAUGUCAGGCCUUGUGCCUUUAGUAGAAAGGAUUAUUAUUUUAUUCUUCAUUAAGACAGCAAUCUAGCAGUAACAUUAGCACAUCAAACAAAAUGCUAAGUGGCAUUUUAUCCAUCUGUACAUUCUGAGUUCAAAUUCUGCUAAGAUCAACUUUGUCUUCCAUCAUUUUGAGGUUGACUUUGCCUUCUAUCCUUUUAGGGUUGAUAAAAUAAACCCCAGUUGUGCACUGGGAGGUCAAUGUAAUCAACUUCUCCACACACACACACACACACACACACACAUUCCAAAAAAUUACUAGCCUUGUAUCAAAAUUUAAAACCAUUUGUUUAUUCCUCAUUAAGAUGAAGAGCUGGCAGAAUUGUUAGUGCAUUGAAAAAAAUACUUGAGGCACUUUUUCCAGCUUUUUACAUUCUAAGAUCAAAUUCCAUCAAAGUCAUCUUUGCCUUUCUUCCUUUUGGAGUCAAUAAAAUAAGUACAAGUUGAACACUGGUAUCAAUAUAAUCAGGUAACCCUCUCCCCUUAAAAUUGCUGGCCUUGUGCCAAAAUUUGAAACCAUAAAUUUAUUCUUCAUUCUUCUUUUAUUUUUAUUCUUCAUUUUUAUUUUAUUUUUAUUCUUCAUUUUAGGGGGAACUAUAUAUGUGAUGCCAUUUCUUUACAAAGAUAUUGUGCAAAAUAAAACAGAGGUGCCAUUUUUGUUAUUAUUAAAAGAAAUCAUUAUUAUUUUUUUUAUUUAUAUUGUAAGUUUUUGCUAUGUAACUAUGCACAGUUGUGUGCAUUUUGGAUAUACGCUACGUUUUAUUCUGGUUUUGUGUUUUCUAUUGUAUUCGCAUUCCUCUGCUUGCAGUGCCUAGUUGUACUAUACUCUGUAUGUAAACCCUGGGAUUUUGGUCUGCUUCAUUUUUUAAGCAUUCCCAAGGUGCCUAUUAUUAUAUGGACUGCAUCUAUUUUUAAUCUCUGUAUUCUGGUUACUUCUAAUUUCAGGUUAUUAUAUUUGAAUAAUUUUCCCAUUUCUUUUAGUGAUACAUUAUUGUUUGUUGGGACUGAUAUGUCAUUUCUUUUGAUCAUCCUUGACAACAAUAACUUAUCAGUACACUUGAUCUCUCUUUCUGUGUGGAUUGGAAAAUCCCUGAGCCUGUUUGCAUUUUAAUUCCCUAAGACCUGUUUUGGUGUAUAUUUAUACAAUUUCUUUUCUGUUAGCAUUUCAUUAUAUCAGCAGUAAGAAAGCAUUUCUUCCAGUUUUAUGUUUUAAGUUCAAAUUCUACUGAGAUCAACUUUGCCUUUCAACCUUGCAGGGUUUUCAGGCUAAAUUUGAAAGUCUGCAUGAAAGGUAAAGAAAACACAAUAUCCCAAACAUCAACUUGAUUAUGGCUGGGAAAUAACAGUUUACUCAAAGUAACUGUCCACAGCUUCCACCACAGCUUCAGGACAGCUCCAGAACUUGGUGCAUGCAUUCCUUACUGUAUCUCUGGGAAGAUCUUCUUUGAUCUUGGCCACCUGCACAGCCUUGCUGUUGCAAGCAGAGUAGUUGGAGUCUGUCUAAACUAUGCUCUACACAUAACAAUCCAUAGAAUUACAAUCAAAGGAAUUAGGAGGUCGGAAAUUGGGGCUGGUGAAGUUGUAGAAACUUUCUGACAACCAAUUCUGGCCUUUUCCAGAGGAAUGGCAAAGAGCCAAAUCCUGCUACUACACAUAUGGCCCUCCUGCAGCAACUACUUUCUACUCUUUUUGGAAGUAUAGUAAUGAACCGAAUCUUGCUGCCACACAUAUAGCCUUCUAGCUGCAACCCUCCCAGCCAAAGUUUGAUUUCAGUCUCCUGUAGCUUCACAUAGUCAUCUGAAUUGAGCCUAAGGCCCUGUUUAAAGAUGUGGGGUAGCAGGAUGUCACCCUCACUGGAGAUACCCAAAGAUCACACUUUGAGGGAUCUUGGUUUUCAUGACACAUGGGACAUCACAGGGAUUGUAGGCAAACUUACAAUCCAGAUUGUUCUGAGUAUUGUGCAACUAAUUCUGGCAGAAGCUCUUUUCAUCUUUUCUUCUGAGAAGAACCAGAUCCUCUCUGGCUCAACAGGAUGCCUCAACUUUUCUGGGACCAUCUAUGCCUUUGUCAAGCAGUUCUCUUUGGCUUUGGCUUUGGCUGUCAGAAUCUGUCCCUUGUGCCUCUUGUAUGAGUGUAGUGAAGGUUUUCAUUUAGUGCCAGCUUCAUGGUGGUGACUCUAUCACUAAAGCUUGAAUUCCUUUGCUCAGAUUUUCCAUCACCUUGCACUGUAGUUGUUGGAUGAAUUCCAAUGUGCAGACACAGUCAGAAUGCCUGCUGUGUCCCUUCCUGCUGGCCACAGCUUCAUAGUCUCUGUUGCAGUUGUCCAUGUCAUAUCUUACAACCAUCACAGUAUUCAAAGAACAUUGAGCAGCUGUCACGAUGUCAGCAUUUUGACACUUGAUGUGAAUCAUUAUGAUACAGGUAACUUCUUUUCCAAUAUUCAGAUGGCUUUCAGUCCUCCAUGUCAGCUGACUUUUUCUCACAUACAACUUUAUGUUCUUCAAUGCUGUUGACUGUUCACCAAUACAUUAGGCUGUCCCACAUGAAAGAAGACAUAAAAUAUCAUCAAAUUUAGCCGAAACGCUCUGCAAGUACUAACUGAACACUGAGGUCAAUGUAAUCAAAUGGCCUCUCCCUACAAAAUUUCAAGCCUUGUGUCUAUAGUAGAAAAAAUUUUUGUUGUUGUUGUUGUUGUUGUUGUGGUGGUGGUGGUGGUGGUGGUGGUGGUGGUGGUGAUGGUGGUCGCGGUCGUGGUCAUGGUUGCUGUCAUCGUCAUCAUGGUUGUGGUGGUCAUGGUGGUCAUGGUCAUUGCAGUAAUGGCAAUGGUGGUAAUCAGAAUAUUAGAUAGGCAGGUUGUUGUGCAUAAUACAUAAUUCUGGGAUUGAUAAAGCAUUGGUUAUGAACCCACAAUGAUUGCCUUGAUUAAAUUUUUCCUCAAACCGUGCAGUCUUGUGCUUGUUCUAGAAAUGAUGAUGAUGAUCAUCAUCAUCAACCCUUUGUAACUUUUGUCCUGUAUUUUGUCCCUUUAUGUUUUAAUUAAUUUUUGUCAGCUAUUGUGGCCAAUAAACGAAUUAAUUAUUAUUAUUAUUAUUAUUAUUAUUAUUAUUAUUAUUAUUAUUAUUAUUAAUAAUAAUAAUAAUAAGAAGAAGAAGAAGAAGAAGAAGAAGAAAGGUGGUGAGCUGGCAGAAUCAUUAGCAUGCCAGGCGAAAUGCUUAGUGCUAUUUCAUCUGCCACUACAUUGUGAGUUCAAAUUCUACCAAAGUCGACUUUGCCUCUCACUCUUUCUCAAGGUCAAUAAAUUAAGUACCAGUUGAGUACUAGGGUCAAUAUAAUCAACUAGUCCCCUCCCCCUCCAAAUUUCAGGCCUUGUACCUAUAGUAGAAAGGAUUAUUAUUAUUAUUAUUAUUAUUAUUAUUAUUAUUAUUAUUAUUAUUAUUAUUAUUAAGAUGUUGAGCUGGUACAAUUGGCAGAGCACUGGAGAAAAUGCUUUGCAGUAUUUAGUUAUAUCCAUUUGUUUUAAAAAUAAGUCUUGCAAGGAUAGAACUGUGAUCUACUGAGAGUUGACUCAGUUAACAAUAUCUACUCCUCAAAAUGUGUGUGCUAUUAUGUCUUAUCUAAAAAAUCUCUAUUAUUAUAUUAGGGUGGUGAGAAGCAGAAUUGUUAAAAACACAGAUCAAAUGUUCUGUAAUAUUUAGUUACAUUCUUUCACAUUCAAAGUUCAAAACUGUCAGGUCAGCUUUGACAGUCAUUUUUCUGCUGACAAAGACAAAAAUAACAACUAUGACAGUGUCAGCAGAGGUGACAGUAGUGGUAGUAGAAGUAGUGGUGGUGGUGGUGGUGGCGGUGACGGUGGCGGCGGCGGUGGCGGUGGCGGCGGCGGCGGCGGCGGCAGCAGCAGCCGGCAGGGGCAUGGCGCUGAGGAGGAGGAGGAGGAGGAGGAGUAGUAAGAUAGAGGUGUGAAGGGAAUUAACAAGUUCAGUCUUAAAAUGGAAUCAUAUGUAUGUUCCGAAUGCAGGUUUUAAUCCUAAUCCAAGUACAUUCAAGUGCUUCCAGUAAAUCGAAUAAUGUAAUAUUUCAAAGGUGAAAUGUCAAAAUGUCUCAAAGUAAAUGAAAAAAAUUAAAUACUGUGAGAUUAGGACUGCGUUUAAGAAAAGUGAACUUGUAUGGGUGUAUGUGAUGUAGGAAUACAUGAGUGCGUGCACACACACACACACACACACACAUAACAGGCUUCUUUCAGUUUCAGUCUGCCAAAUCCAUUCACAAGGCUUUAGUUGGCCUGAGGCAACCUGGAACAAUGUGGUUAGGAAGCAAGCUUCUUACUACAGUCGCACCUACAUGUAUAUAUGUGUGUGUGUGUGUGUGUGUGUGGAUAUAUAUGCAUGUCUAUGUAAGUAUGUGCAUGUAAUGUAUAAACAUAUAUAUGUAUAUACGUUACACAUGCCACACAUAUGCACCAGUAUGUAAACACACAAAAUAAUAUUUAUAUAUAAAAUUAAUUAAUACACAUAUCUGCACUUACACACACAUAAAUAUUAUAUCUAUAUUUCAUCAUCUUGAUCAUUAUGAUCUAAUGUCCAUGUUCCUGGCUAGCAUGAGUUGGACAGUUAGACAAUAUCUGAUAGGACCAAGGAUGGCAUCGUGCUACAGUGUCUGCCUUUGCAUAGUUUCUAUAACUGAAAGCCCAUCCUUAUGCCAACCACUUUACUGUGUGUUAUGAAUACAUUUAUUGUCACCAGCACUUGUAAGAUUGCCAUGAAGCUCACAAGAUAAUGAACCUUGGGGGAGAAGGGUGCUUUAUGCUUUGCAGUGCAGGUUAAAGAAUGAGAGAAAGGAGAACUGAU